rnacentral:rRNA from 1 species
GAUGAACGCUAGCGGGAGGCUUAACACAUGCAAGUCGAGGGGCAUCACGAGGUAGCAAUACUUUGGUGGCGACCGGCGCACGGGUGAGUAACGCGUAUGCAACCUACCCUGUACAGGGGGAUAGCCCGGAGAAAUUCGGAUUAAUACCCCAUAAUGAUAUUUUAUGGCAUCAUAAGAUAUUUAAAGCUCAGGCGGUACGGGAUGGGCAUGCGUAACAUUAGCUAGUUGGUAGGGUAAUGGCCUACCAAGGCGACGAUGUUUAGGGGUCCUGAGAGGGUGAUCCCCCACACUGGUACUGAGACACGGACCAGACUCCUACGGGAGGCAGCAGUGAGGAAUAUUGGUCAAUGGGCGCGAGCCUGAACCAGCCAUCCCGCGUGGAGGAAGACUGCCCUAUGGGUUGUAAACUUCUUUUCCAGGGGAAUAAAAUCUCGAACGAGUUCGGGACUGAAGGUACCCUGGGAAUAAGCAUCGGCUAACUCCGUGCCAGCAGCCGCCGCAGUAA